rnacentral:rRNA from 2 species
UACGUAGGUGGCAAGCGUUGUCCGGAUUUAUUGGGCGUAAAGCGAGCGCAGGCGGAAGAAUAAGUCUGAUGUGAAAGCCCUCGGCUUAACCGAGGAAUUGCAUCGGAAACUGUUUUUCUUGAGUGCAGAAGAGGAGAGUAGAACUCCAUGUGUAGCGGUGGAAUGCGUAGAUAUAUGGAAGAAUACCAGUGGCGAAGGCGGCUCUCUGGUCUGCAACUGACGCUGAGGCUCGAAAGCAUGGGUAGCGAACAGG